CCAUGGUGGAGAGUGUUGUAUCAAGCCUGGACCUGAGGACACCAGAGACCAUGGUGGAGAGAGUUGUAUCAAGCCUGGACCUGAGGACACCAGAGACCAUGGUGGAGAGAGUUGUAUCACGUCUGGACCUGAGAAAUGGAUUCCUCAGGGCUGUAAGACUUGUGAUCAUGUUGAGGACUCCACACACUGGCUUCAGAUUGAACCCUUGACUUCCACUGUCCAGGGAGUUGUAAUGUUCAGACACAGGACACCCAAAGGGAGUUAUGAGUGCACAGUGUCUGGGCUCCGCUGGCUGUGUAAGAGAGAUAUCAUUCUGAAGUAUCACUUCAGGAACUGGGAACCCUACAGUCAACUUCUGAAAGACAUGCAGUACACACAAGGUGGUCCAUUGCUGGACAUCACUAUGGAGUUAGGUGAACUGGAGGAAGUUAAUCUGCCACACUUUGUCUGUUUAGGGACCAACCCUUCCCUGAGGAAUGAGAUGAAGAUUCUUCAUGUAGAGGAACAUGGAGUGUCUUUAGAGGAAGUGCAUGAGGUCACCAGAUUCCAUGCUAAGAUUCUCCAUCCCAAGUUCUCAGCUAUCUCUCUGAUACUGAGAUUAUCUUUUCUUGGAACAUAGAUGUCCACUGUGAUGUGGUCCUCUAUUUGGCAGUAAAAAAGUCAACAUUAAUUUCAAGGCUGUACCUGCUCCUCAGAAACUCCAGUCAGAAAGAGGCUGUUCGGGAACGGGAGAAAGAUCAGGUGUCCCAAGGAUAUUCAGAAUUUCUCCUGUCAAGUCCAAACGGGCCCUUAAAGAUGAACACUUGGUUUGCACUCAAGAAUCCCCUCUCCACUUCCAUCUAUCCAGAGAAGAUUCAGCUGUUACCUGCAAACACCACACCAAGCUGUUGUAAGAUGAUAAUGGGAAACACAGGGGUGGACAUUGAGAUGGAGUUAAUCGGGGAUGAUGAGAGGACAGUAUGGAAAUCAGUGGUAUCAAAAGCAUUAACACUCUCUGGGAUUCCUGCUGAGGAGUUUCUGAAGAAACACAGGGCUGAACUCAUUCAGGGAGUCAAAAACCCAAAGCCAAUAGCAGAUGUUCUGCGGUCAAAGUACAUGAUUGGUGAAGAAGAGUACUCCAGAAUAACAGCUGAAACAACUGAACAGGAGCGAAUGAGAGAACUACUGAAUGCAGUCCUCCCUAAAGGACCAGAAGUGAUGGGAGCUUGUCUCAAAGCUCUCAGUGAACAUGAACGCCAUCUUGUUAAGUACUUGAGUGAAUCUAGGUAACACAGCUUUCUUCUCUCCCUCCCUUGAAUAUGUGGGAAUGAUUUAAAUAUAGGUGAAAUACAAACAUAGCUACUGUCACGACAUGGCCUUUUGGUUGUAUAUCGUGGCCGAGCUGCCGUUUAUGUGCAAAGGAUUAGCAUUUCAAUGAACAGAAUUAUCAACUGUGUGUAGUGAAUCCAUUUAGUCUUUCCCACUCUUUUCCUGUCCCCACCCCUUUCCUUUGUCUACCAAGCCGUCAUACCGGUUUAGCCCACUAGGGAAUUUUCUAUCAAUGCAUUGUUAGUAACCAAUAUCUACUGUUAUGUAUUUCUGUGAUUAUUUUGUUAGUUAGUAAAUAAAUAAGCCAAUUUGUAUAUUGCUGAUUCAUUAUGGAAACUAGGGUUUUUACAACGUUUGGAAUGAGACUAACGAAGGUAACAAUUAAUCAUCGUUAAUAGAAGAUUAUAAUUGAUCAGAUAUUAAAAUAUUUGAAGAGUUAUAUUUGGGAAAUUAUAACAAUGUAAAUCUCAACAUUUUUCCGUGGUGCCCCGACAUCCUAGUUCAUUCAUGUUUACAUGAUUAGUCUAGGUUGAAUUAUUACGUGAUUAAACAACUGAUUUGAUAGAAAUAAGCCUUCACAUUUAAUGAUCGUCCAGACAAGACACUAACCAGAUCAAAUAAACUAUUUCAGAAUGAA